rnacentral:tRNA from 1 species
GCGGCGUAGCUUAGUUGGUUAGAGCGUCCGGUUCAUACCCGGAAGGUCGUAAGUUCGACUCUCACCGCCG